rnacentral:rRNA from 1 species
UACGGAGGGUGCAAGCGUUAUUCGGAAUUACUGGGCGUAAAGCGCACGUAGGCCGUUUUGUAAGUCAGGGGUGAAAUCCCACGGCUCAACCGUGGAACUGCCUUUGAAACUGCAGAACUUGAAUCCUGGAGAGGGUGGCGGAAUUCCUGGUGUAGGAGUGAAAUCCGUAGAUAUCAGGAGGAACACCGGUGGCGAAGGCGGCCACCUGGACAGGUAUUGACGCUGAGGUGCGAAGGUGUGGGUAUCAAACAGG